CCUACGGGGGGCAGCAGUGGGGAAUAUUGGACAAUGGGGGGAACCCUGAUCCAGCCAUGCCGCGUGUGUGAAGAAGGCCCUCGGGUUGUAAAGCACUUUCAGUGAGGAAGAACGCCUGGUGGUUAAUACCCAUCAGGAAAGACAUCACUCACAGAAGAAGCACCGGCUAACUCCGUGCCAGCAGCCGCGGUAAUACGGAGGGUGCGAGCGUUGAUCGGAAUUACUGGGCGUAAAGCGCGCGUAGGUGGCUUGAUAAGCCGGUUGUGAAAGCCCCGGGCUCAACCUGGGAACGGCAUCCGGAACUGUCAAGCUAGAGUGCAGGAGAGGAAGGUAGAAUUCCCGGUGUAGCGGUGAAAUGCGUAGAGAUCGGGAGGAAUACCAGUGGCGAAGGCGGCCUUCUGGACUGACACUGACACUGAGGUGCGAAAGCGUGGGUAGCAAACAGGAUUAGAUACCCUUGUAGUC
rnacentral:rRNA from 1 species